rnacentral:sRNA from 1 species
GGCGGACCGUGGCGGCUUGAGUGAAGCCGCGGCUACUGGAGCGUCUCCUGCAUCUGUCCCUGGCCUAAACCCGACGCUAGGCUGGAGGGAGCGACUGCGGGCCGGGCUGGCGGGGACUGGGGCCUCGUUGUGGUUCGUGGCGGGGCUGGGGCUGCUUUACGCUCUGAGGAUCCCUUUGAGGCUGUGUGAGAAUUUGGCAGCGGCGACUGUAUUUUUAAAUUCAUUGACACCCAAAUUCUAUGUGGCACUUACAGGGACAUCUUCACUGAUAUCAGGACUAAUAUUUAUAUUUGAAUGGUGGUACUUCCAUAAGCAUGGCACAUCUUUUAUUGAGCAAGUAUCUGUAAGCCAUUUGCAACCACUGAUGGGAGGAACAGAGAGCAGCAUUUCAGAACCAGGUUCUCCUUCGAGGAACAGAGAAAGUGAAACCAGCAGACAGAAUUUGUCAGGUUCUUUGGGAGGUGAUCAGGUCAUGAGGGCACUGCCCUCAGGGAUGUGAUUAAUGCCCUUAUGAGAGACCCCAGAGAGCUGCUUGCCACUUCUACCAUGGGAGGACACCAGAAGAAGGCGCCAUCUAUGAACCAGAAAGCAGACCCUCACCAGACACCAAAUCUGUUGGUACCUUGGUCAUAGACUUCCCAGCCUCUAGAACUGUUAAAAAUAAAUUUAUACUGUUUAUAAUCUA